rnacentral:tRNA from 1 species
GGACCCAUGGCGCAACGGUAGCGCGUCAGAUUCCAGAUCUAACAUUCAAGCAGUAAGCGUUCGAAUCGCUUUGGGUUCA